GAUGAACGCUGGCGGCGUGCUUAACACAUGCAAGUCGAACGGAGUGCCUUUGAAAGAGGAUUCGUCCAAUUGAUAAGGUUACUUAGUGGCGGACGGGUGAGUAACGCGUGAGGAACCUGCCUUGGAGUGGGGAAUAACACAGUGAAAAUUGUGCUAAUACCGCAUAAUGCAGUUGGGCCGCAUGGCUCUGACUGCCAAAGCUUUAUGUGCUGAAAGAUGGCCUCGCGUCUGAUUAGCUAGUUGGUGGGGUAACGGCCCACCAAGGCGACGAUCAGUAGCCGGUCUGAGAGGAUGAACGGCCACAUUGGGACUGAGAUACGGCCCAG
rnacentral:rRNA from 1 species